UGGGGAAUAUUGGACAAUGGGCGCAAGCCUGAUCCAGCCAUGCCGCGUGUGUGAAGAAGGCCUUUUGGUUGUAAAGCACUUUAAGCGAGGAGGAGGCUACUUGGAUUAAUACUCUAGGAUAGUGGACGUUACUCGCAGAAUAAGCACCGGCUAACUCUGUGCCAGCAGCCGCGGUAAUACAGAGGGUGCGAGCGUUAAUCGGAUUUACUGGGCGUAAAGCGUGCGUAGGCGGCUUCUUAAGUCGGAUGUGAAAUCCCUGAGCUAAACUUAGGAAUUGCAUUCGAUACUGGGAAGCUAGAGUAUGGGAGAGGAUGGUAGAAUUCCAGGUGUAGCGGUGAAAUGCGUAGAGAUCUGGAGGAAUACCGAUGGCGAAGGCAGCCAUCUGGCCUAAUACUGACGCUGAGGUACGAAAGCAUGGGGAGCAAACAGG
rnacentral:rRNA from 1 species